rnacentral:rRNA from 1 species
GAGUUUGAUCUUGGCUCAGAUUGAACGCUGGCGGCAUGCCUUACACAUGCAAGUCGAACGGCAGCACGGGAGCUUGCUCCUGGUGGCGAGUGGCGAACGGGUGAGUAAUGCAUCGGAACGUAUCCUGGAGUGGGGGAUAACGUAGCGAAAGUUACGCUAAUACCGCAUAUUCUGUGAGCAGGAAAGCGGGGGGACCUUCGGGGCCUCGCGCUCUUGGAGCGGCCGAUGUCGGAUUAGCUAGUUGGUGAGGUAAAGGCUCACCAAGGCGACGAUCCGUAGCAGGUCUGAGAGGAUGAUCUGCCACACUGGAACUGAGACACGGUCCAGACUCCUACGGAGGCAGCAGUGGGAA